AGCCUGCCCCCCAGCGUUUCCGAGCGCCUCCGCGAGCUGGGCGCCGCGGGAGUCCAGCCCCAGGACCCCUGGAGCUCCCUUAUUCCCAAAUCCCUGUGGUUUCCCCAGCGCAUGACUCCGGGCCCUCCGGGAACGGCGCUGAGCGAGACUGGCCGGAUCCCUGCUCUCAGGUCUCUCGCGAAGUCCCGAGCCUAGAGCGGAGCUACAGGAGGGAGGAACCCCAGAGGCGGCCCCGCCGGCUCUGGUAGAGCCUUGAAGGCCGCUGCCGGGAGCCCCACGUGGAAGUGCGGAGACUUAGCCCAGCUGCCGAAGUCCAGGUUAAAGACUUGAAAGAAAGAAACAACAUUCAGAUUUCAGGAUGCAACUGAGAUGGAACAUUCAGAAGAUCUUUUUGGGAACAAGGUUGCCAAGUUCUUUGAAGUAGAUAUCACCGUGCCAAGCUCCCCCCACUCAGGGGCUCCGAGGCGCAGGGACCAUGGCGGUCAGAGAACAGCCUGACACGGAGUCACGGCGGCAGCAGCACAGACCCGCUCACCCCAGAGCCGCUGGUGGCCCGGCCGCCCACCUCCCUUGCAUCUCUCGGACAGACACGCCCCAUUUAGCCCACAGGGUGAACGGGCAACCGAGCAAAAGGGAGACGUCGGCACAAACGCUUCCUGUGCGUGGAGCGUGAUGCCCCGGUGGUGGCGGGGAGCCUGAACUCCUCACAGCCCGCAGCAGGUCACUCCGCAGGGCUCUGGGACACACCAUCCACACGGCAGGGCUCCGCGGGACCACGGAGCCGUCCAGAGUGACCCUGCUUCUCUGCCUGCUGCGCUCCACUCAACCUGAGAUGAGGCUUUCAGACGGAAGUCCCCCCGACUGGCCGGCCUUGCUGCUGGGGGAGCCCUACAUCCCUAGGAGAAGUCGGAGCUCACCGGGAAGGCAUCUGGUAGGUCAUCAUGACGCUGUCAUCCGUGUCGGCCAUCAGC